rnacentral:tRNA from 1 species
GGCAAUAUAGUUAAAACACAUAACGCUUGGUUUGCACCCUUGAAUUAGGCAGCGUGCCUUGUUGCUA